UCGCUGGUUCGUGUUCACGACAACUCUCUGAACUUAAGCAUAUCAAUAAGAGAAGGAAAAGAAAAUAACGAUGAUUCAACUAGUAGCGGCGAGCGAAGCUUGAAGAGCUCCUAUGGUAAAAUUUGUUGUAUGGGAAAAGGAAAUCUGUAUUGCAAAAUACAACUGAAUCGGGUUACAGUCCCAUUCUAGAUUCCAAAUAAACGAGUAGUGCUGUUUGGCAGUGCAGCAUGAAGAGGUGUAUUGUGAACAUCUAAAGCUAAAUACGUACACAGACCGAUAGCAAAGAAGUACCGUGAGGGAAAGCUAGUUGUUGUAGCGACAACGUGUGAAAUCGAAAAUACGGAAGGCAACUUGUUGCACCCGUCUUGAAACACGGGCCAAGGAGACCACAUUGAUUGCAAGACUAGUCGUAGUAGUUGAUGUGGGACCCGAUAGACAGUGAACUAUACCUGACCAACGUGAAGCCUGUGGAAACGCGGGUGGAGGCGUGCAGCGGGACUGACGUGCAAAUCGUUCGCCUGAGUUGGGUGUAGGGGCGAAAGACCAAUCGAACUGUCUGGUAGCUGGUUCCCUCCGAAAUGUCUCGCAGGACAGCAGCGCUAUAUUGUAUGAUGCGGUAGGGCACUGGCGGGCUAAUAGGACCACAGGUUCUGUGACCGACAAACCCCGAAUGCAUCAGGUAGUUGGCUUGAUUGCAACUAUGGAUAAGGAAUGCGUUAGUGGGCCAGUACUGGCAAGCAGUAAUGGCGAAGAGGAUUCAACCUCGCGGAAGAUAAGGUGCCUAACGGGAGCUUAUUUGAAAGGAGUAGGCGAAUAUGGACAGUGGGGCGGUAGACAUGGAAGUUGUCAUCCGGUAAGAAACGUGUUACAACGUACCCACCGAAUUCGGCUGCCCUGAAAAUGGAUGGCGAUUGAGCCCCGACCGAUGCUUUCAGAGUAGGAGGGUACGUUUGUUGCGUAGAAGCGCAGUAGUGAUACUGUGUAGAGCGACAAGCGGAACAGAUCUUGGCGGUAGUAGCAGAAACUUAGCUGGAAUGCUAAGCGCCGUGAGAGCAGGGUUUCUGCGGCCGGGUCAACCGCGCAGAGUUAGUCGGCACUACUAAAAGUAAAAGUCUAAAUGGCUACUUUGUUCUCGAGAUGGCAACAUACAGCUUGCAUCGACAAUGCACGUAGACACAUUGAUGGUUUCCGCCAUCAAAAAAGAACGAGUGUGUGGAUGGGUCAACCAGCGAAGCACACUGUUUUGUGUUGAAUGGCAUUUCUUAAAAAGAUGUAAGCGACGAGAACAAAGCCGUACCUAAACCGCAACGGGGCUCUUGGUUGAGAAACCACGGUGAACAGGACAACGUACGUAAGGGAAUUCGGCAAACUUGAUCUGUAACUUCGGGAGAAGGAUUGGCUCAAAGAGCUUGCGAUCAGGGGAAUCUGACUGUUUAGUAAAAACAUAGCCUUGCGUCGCAUGCAAGGUGAAUUCUGCCCAGUGCUCGUCUGUUAAGUUCGUAAGAAUGGAGCACGGGUCAACGGCGGGAGUAACUAUGACUCUCUUAAGGUAGCCAAAUGCCUUGUCAACUAAUUAUUGACGCGCAUGAAUGGAGCAACGAGAUUCCCGCUGUCCCUACGUACAGCCUGGCGAAACCACAGUCAAGGGAACGGGCUUGAAGAAGUCAGCGGGGAAAGAAGACCCUGUUGAGCUCUGCUCUAGAGUGGUUCUGUGGUGCGGCACGCGGGGUGCAGACUAGGUAGGAACAAUGAGAAACUACUACCCGUGUAGCCGCACUCACUAAGACAAUGUCGAAUGAACAACUUGGGGAGCUUGGCUGGGGCGGCACGGCUGUUAGACUACAACACAGCCGUCCUAAGGUCCGUACAGCACGGACAGAAACCGUGUGUUGCGUACAAGGGCAAGCGGGCUUAAAUGUUUGCGAAAGCAAGGCCUAGCGAUCCUUCGUGCAGGCAAAGCACGGAGGUGACAGAAAAGUUACCACAGGGAUAACUGAUUUGUGGCGGCCGAGCGUCCGCAGCGACGCCGCAGUUUGAUCCUUCGAUGUCGGCUCUUCCUAUCACUGCGAUGCAUCAGUCGCAAAUUGUAGGAUUGUUCACCCACUAACAGGGAACGUGAGCUGGGUUUAGACCGUCGUGAGACAGGUUAGUUUUACCCUACUGACCGAUUGGUGAGCAGCACGGGCUAGUACGAGAGGAACGCCUUUGCGGGGCCACUGGUUUAGCAUUAGUGCGGAAGUGCGAUGCGUAGCUACGCCCUAUGUACGAACGGCUGGAAGCCUCUAAGCCGGAUUUCAGUUCACACAACGCAGUGGCAAAGACGAUGCCGAGCACGCGCAACUGUAAACAGUCGAGCAAUAGCGAGCUGUUUAGGUCAGCGCUGUGCGAUGU
rfam:Anopheles epiroticus strain epiroticus2 unplaced genomic scaffold supercont1.1634, whole genome shotgun sequence.